rnacentral:rRNA from 1 species
GAUGAACGCUGGCGGCGUGCCUAAUACAUGCAAGUCGAGCGAACAGACGAGGAGCUUGCUCCUCUGACGUUAGCGGCGGACGGGUGAGUAACACGUGGAUAACCUACCUAUAAGACUGGGAUAACUUCGGGAAACCGGAGCUAAUACCGGAUAAUAUAUUGAACCGCAUGGUUCAAUAGUGAAAGACGGUUUUGCUGUCACUUAUAGAUGGAUCCGCGCCGCAUUAGCUAGUUGGUAAGGUAACAGCUUACCAAGGCAACGAUGCGUAGCCGACCUGAGAGGGUGAUCGGCCACACUGGAACUGAGACACGGUCCAGACUCCUACGGGAGGCAGCAGUAGGGAAUCUUCCGCAAUGGGCGAAAGCCUGACGGAGCAACGCCGCGUGAGUGAUGAAGGUCUUCGGAUCGUAAAACUCUGUUAUUAGGGAAGAACAAAUGUGUAAGUAACUAUGCACGUCUUGACGGUACCUAAUCAGAAAGCCACGGCUAACUACG